UCUGUGGUGUCUGUGCACGUUGGUAUGGGCUUGCCUACAUGCAGAGGCGGGAAGAGGAGGGCAGUGUUUCGAAGUAUUGGUCUCUGCGCUGAUCUCCUCUGACAGGGUCUCCUGGUGAACAUCGAUCUCAUUGAUUUUUCUGCCGGGGUUUUGGCCAUUGCUGGGUUUGCAGGCUCACGCUGCCAACCCAGCUUUUCUGUCCCUGUUGUGUGUGUUGAGUCAGUGAUGAUGCUCCAGAUCAGAACUCACAUUCUCACCCCCGGAGCCAUCAUCGAGGCCAAGUUAAUCCUUUUUAAUUGGGCAAAUUGAGAGGUAACAGCUCACCAAGAAACAGGAAGAAAUUGUAUCAUACAUGCACACCAACCCUAAACAACAACAACAACAAAAUAUGGAUUCGUUUUCUCAGAAAGUCAGAUUGGUCCUACCACACAGUCUCUUGAGUGGAGAAACUCGUUUUUUAUUAGCUCAUUGGAGCAUCAGUUCAGGAUUGCAGAUACUCUAAACACUCACCAUGAAACCUGGGUCUAAAGAGGUCUUAGGGUUCGCCCAGUACAAGUACUUUACAGCAGGGGCUCCACUUUGACAAAUGCUUUACACAAAUGCACUCGGGCCCACACCUUUCUGACGACUUUGGGCAGCAGGGAGUGGGGUGUGUUGGGAUUGUCCAAGUUUUGCUGUCCUGGGCGCUCGGCCCUGUCGGCUGUGGCCCACCCUCCAGGAGCUCCCCAUCCCCCCACGAGCCCUGCCUCAGUCCCGGCAGCACCCGCGAGCCCUAGACAACAUGGCUGGAGCAGGCAGCGACGGAGAGGCCCUGGCUCCCCGGAUGCAGAUCAUAGAGAUGAAUGACAAGUUAAGAAACAGGCAAGAAAUUGUGAAUGGACUGAACAUAUUUUUGGAAGAAAAUGAGAUUUAAUAUGAGAAUUAAGAAGUUUGGUAUAAAUACAAGUAAAGAAUUCAGAAAAUCACCAGGGGCUUCUUGCUUUGGACUGACUGUGUCAACUGGUAUGUGCUGCCGCCAUUUCAUAUUGCAUGAGUCCUACUGAGCAUGUGCUUAUGAUGACGUCUGCAUAGUAGAGCUGUGAGCAGACAUCAGCGUACAGCUUGCUUCUUUUGCCUUUUAUUAUUGAAUUUUUUUAGAUGAGCCUCUAGUGAAUUAAAGGUUUAUUUUAUUGUA